UACGUAGGGUGCGAGCGUUAAUCGGAAUUACUGGGCGUAAAGCGUGCGCAGGCGGCGCGUUAAGACAGGUGUGAAAGCCCCCGAGCUUAACUUGGGAAUUGCGCUUGUGACUGGCGUGCUGGAGUGUGGCAGAGGGAGGUGGAAUUCCACGUGUAGCAGUGAGAUGCGUAGAGAUGUGGAGGAACACCGAUGGCGAAGGCAGGCCUCCGU
rnacentral:rRNA from 1 species